rnacentral:tRNA from 1 species
UCCUUCGUGGUGUAGUGGUCAGCACGCUUGACGCGUAUUCGAGAGGUCCGUGGUUCGAAUCCCGGCGAGGGCA